AGGAGCCGUGUGCAGUGAAAGUUGCACGCACGGUUCUGAAGGAGAGGUGUCCUAGAGUAAUUUAGGUAUCGACUCUAAU
rfam:Nostoc sp. PCC 7120 DNA, complete genome.